rnacentral:tRNA from 1 species
GGGUUAGCUCAGUGGUAGAGCCCCUCGUUUACACCGAGCAUGUUGGGGGUUUGAAACCCUCACCGCCCA